rnacentral:rRNA from 1 species
AUUGAACGCUGGCGGCAUGCCUUACACAUGCAAGUCGAACGGCAGCACGGGUGCUUGCACCUGGUGGCGAGUGGCGAACGGGUGAGUAAUACAUCGGAACGUACCUUAUCGUGGGGGAUAACGCAGCGAAAGCUGUGCUAAUACCGCGUACGCACUGAGGGGGAAAGCGGGGGAUCGCAAGACCUAGCGCGAGUAGAGCGGCCGAUGCCUGAUUAGCUUGUUGGUGGGGUAAAAGCCCACCAAGGCGACGAUCAGUAGCUGGUCUGAGAGGACGAUCAGCCACACUGGGACUGAGACACGGCCCAGACUCCUACGGGAGGCAGCAGUGGGGAAUUUUGGACAAUGGGGGCAACCCUGAUCCAGCAAUGCCGCGUGAGUGAAGAAGGCCUUCGGGUUGUAAAGCUCUUUUGUCAGGGAAGAAACACCGGCUCUAACACAGUCUGGGAAUGACGGUACCUGAAGAAUAAGCACCGGCUAACUACGUGCCAGCCGCCGCAGUAA